rnacentral:rRNA from 1 species
UACAGAGGGUGCAAGCGUUAAUCGGAAUUACUGGGCGUAAAGCGUGCGUAGUCGGUUAUUUAAGUCGGGCGUGAAAGCCCCGGGCUCAACCUGGGAAUUGCGUUCGAUACUGGAUAGCUAGAGUUCGGCAGAGGGAAGCGGAAUUUCUGGUGUAGCGGUGAAAUGCGUAGAUAUCAGAAGGAACAUCAGUGGCGAAAGCGGCUUCCUGGACCAGAACUGACGAUCAGGCACGAAAGCGUGGGAGCAAACAGG